UUGAAUCCAAAGGAUGUUGCUGGCAUCGCAAGGUGCAUGUGCACUCCGCCUUUUCAAUCCACCUGUGCACACAUUGUAGGGAGCGGAUUAAGUUCUGCUUCCUAUGUUUUCAUACACACCUUUGAAGUCCUUAGAAUGUUUAAUAGUAGGCCCUUUGGGUUGAAUUUAAUA
rnacentral:misc_RNA from 1 species